rnacentral:lncRNA from 1 species
UCACAUUUAUAGUAUUUAAUAUUUUUACACGUAUGUAUAGACAGUUAUAUUAUUUAAUUUUCUUACACAUGUGUAAAGUCUCCAAUGGUAAAUUACAUGACUGUACACAAAAUUUCAACUACUACAGCUUAAUAGGAACAUUGUACUUUACCGAAACAAAAAUAGGAUGAAAUAGUUCAUGAUGGGAAUACGUAAAUAUUGUAUGGCAUUGUACAGUAUCAAUCAUGGUGAAUCUGAAUCACAAACAUUGCCAAAACUGGAGUUCUCUUCUCCCCUGAAAUUAACAAAAAAACAUAACAAUACAACACUUCUCACUCAUAUUUCCAAACUACUUUCAUAAGGCGCAGAGAGCUGCUCCAGUGAGAAAACACACAAAAAGCUUCUACAAUCCUGGGAGAUCAGCGAAACAUGAGAAAUACUCAAGUAACAAUGAAUGAUGGACUGAAAUGCAAACUGUAGUUCUGCAAGUACGAACAUCUAUCCUCUUAGAUAAAUAUACAUCUAUCCUCUUAUACAGAUAAAUAUUUUUGCAAUCUAUCACUUUUUCCCUGAAGCCAAGAAUCGAAACAAUAUGAGGUAUUUCUAAACUGACACAUACAUGUUUUCAAAGCCAUGACUGCAUGUGAAAGCAUAUAUCUGUAGUUCUUAAUUAGCGGCAAGUAUGCACUGCAAAUUGGAAUAAUUUCAGGCAUUGAAUUAAAAAAAGAAAUUGAAUUGUUAACAGAAAACAUAUUGCCUAUGAUGAUCGCCUUUUUUUGCUGUGGUCAUGCUCUAUAAACUUUGAAUAUCACACAUAAUUUGUAUUCUAUCUCAAACAAAAUUGAACAAAAGGUCUAUAGCUCAUUCCUAUAACAAACCCGACUGCCAUACAGAAUAAAAGUCUACAGCAAAUUUUGUGAAAAAAGCUAGAAAGUAGAAAUCUUACAUCUUUUUCAAAGCUCUGGCGUUUAUUGGCUUGGAGCUCCUGAACCUGCUUUUCAAUACAGUGCAAGUCAAAUCUCAGCCUCUUGUCAUAGUCAUAGUAUGAUCUCCCGUGAAAUCCUCCUCACAGGCCUCCAUCUCGAAACCUUCAUGGGCUAGAGAAAAAGAUAAUAAAACAUGCCAAACAGAUUGAGAAAAGUGACAUAAUAAGUAUCUAUUGGAAAGAUCGAGCCUAGGAUUAUCUAUUUUUUGCUUCGUUGUGCAUUGCAUCUGCAGUUGCACAAAAAAUUGAUCAUUGCAUUCUUCUAAAUCCAGAAUGUCCAGUCUUUACAAUCUAGUCCCUCUGUUCCUAAAUAUUUGUCUUUUUAGAGAUUUUUCAAAUGGACUACCACAUACGGAUGUAUAUAGACAUAUUUUAGAGUGUAAAUUCACUCAUUUUGCUCGUAUGUAGUCACUUGUUGAAAUCUCUAGAAAGACAAAUAUUUAGGGACGGCGGGAGUAGCUCAUUACAAUCAUCAUACAGGUAAGUUCAACAUUGAGAAAAGAAAGAAACAGAAAAGAAAAAAGAGGAAUAAGCAAAGAAGAAAUUGUUGCUAUACUUUUGCUAGAAGAUAACCCAGCCUAUAUGACUACAUCGAUCUAGGCAAAGAUCUUUACCCAACAUCCUUCUCUCUAAUUAUCAAAAAUUCAUGAUUGGAAUCAAAACCAAGCAAACUUUCAUAUUGAUCUGCCUACACUUUAUACUUUCAACACCAACCGUACAUUGCACAUUAUCCACAAUGCAAACUGAAAGAUAUGCAGUUCUUGUUUGAGAACCGAAGAGAUAUGCAUGCGUAUCAUAGUACUGAAAGGGGUAUAUAGAAAAGCUAGUGUUGUGGAAAAUCAGAACACAAAAUUCGAAUUAUUUGGUGUGCGAAUGGCGCUUACACAAUCUGAAUCUGAUGCCGCUCGGGCUCACUGUUGUAGAAGGUGCAACCGCUGCUGAACGGGAACAGCAACCCGGUAAAGAAGAAUUGAAUACUACAUAGAAGACAUCAUGGAGGGAAAUAUGAUGCACCCAAAAGGCCAAAACAACACCAAUUUAACCAAUAGCAGAGUUUUGAAAGGCACUCACAUAC